UACGGAGGGUGCGAGCGUUAAUCGGAAUAACUGGGCGUAAAGGGCACGCAGGCGGUCUUUUAAGUUGGAUGUGAAAUCCCCGGGCUUAACCUGGGAAUUGCAUUUCAAACUGGGAGUCUAGAGUACUUUAGAGAGGGGUAGAAUUCCACGUGUAGCGGUGAAAUGCGUAGAGAUGUGGAGGAAUACCGAAGGCGAAGGCAGCCCCCUGGGCAUGUACUGACGCUCAUGUGCGAAAGCGUGGGGAGCAAACAGG
rnacentral:rRNA from 1 species